ensembl:snRNA U6 U6 spliceosomal RNA
UCUCCAAUACUACCAGGAGGAAAAAAAUGUUCCACGAUACAGAGAUUAGCAUGGCCCCUGCACAAGGAUGACGCGCAAAUUCGUGAAGUGUUCCAUAUUUUU